UGGAAACAUGAUGAACGUUCUGUAACCCUGAGAAACAAGAAAGCCCACGAAGGUGGGGAAUUUCCAAAGAGCUAGAGAACAAGGAAGCAGGUGUCUUUGGAUAAGGGUCAUGAUUAAUGACCAAGCUCACCUGUGCUAUAAAGGGAAGGAGAAAAAUAAACGGGCACUCUCGGUCUCUCUGGGAGCCCUCCCGACUCUAUUUCUGUGUCUUUCUUUUUCCUCAUCCUCACUCCCCCAUUCAGGUGCUGUUCGACAAGUGACGGCGGACUCCAUCAGCUGUCAUCCUACCUGGCCACCUGUGGUGACUUUGUACCCCUCCAUGGGCUUUCUGUCUUUGCCCAGGUGAAAUCCAGAGUGCGCAGUGAGGUAAAGCUGAGCUCCUCAACACAUCCCCACACCGUGGAGACAGUGAAACAGCUUCGCACGUGUUCCCGCUCCUCUGGCUCUUCACAGGCUGCCUGGAGUUGAGGAGCUCACCCAGGCCGGGCCCUCUCUGACCAGCAUCUGAACAGGAUCCUGAGCCCUCUAUCCAGAGAUCCCUCGGCCUCAGGAGUCUCAGUCCCCCACAGCCCAGUUCACAGCCAGUGCUGUGGUCGAGGGAGUGCUUGACAUGGGGUUGUCUGACCUGACUACUGCACAACCCGAGCAGAGUUUGAGAAGCCUCUCGUGUUGGCUGUCCUGGCCUCCCUGGGCCCAUAGAUGAGCUGAGGACCAUCACAGCUGCUCCAGGAAGGUGGAGAAUGUAGGAAGAUGGAUAUGAAGAAAUGGCGUAAAACUCAGCAAAAGAAAGAGGUCUCACUGUGCUGCCCACGCUGGUCUUGAACUCUUGCGCUCAAGUGAUUCUCCUGCCAGACAUGCCUGGCUUCAUGGAAUAAUCUGGAAGCCUGAAGCACCACGACGUUGUGGCUGGAGCUGCCAUUCCGAGAGCCAAGAACCAGAGCCUGGAGCCAGUCUGCCCAGAGGAGAAGAUGCCCAGCCCCAGCAAGAUUCCAUGUACCCUGCAAACUCGUGCAGCCGUGCCCCAAGAGACACAUUCAUUCCAUGACGAUGGAGGUGACUCAUCGCCAGCGCCAGAGCUGGACUCCGGAACUGCUGCAGUCUUUUGAGCUGUGUCCUUCUGAUGUGCGGUAUCUAAAUCUGAAAAGCAGGGCAGCCUAGGGCAUUAUACAUGUGUUCAGCUGUGGCUCCUAGCUCUUACCUCCUUUCCCAGGCAGGCCCUAGAAACUAGAGUUUUCCCAUGAAACCCAAAAGGACAAGGUUCAGCAAGCUUCAGGAUGGCUGAACUUGUGGGGUCCCAGGAGGGUGUGGUAGCCCAUGCCAUGCGUCUGUGCAUCUCUCCUCUGUAUCCUUUGAUCGCUGGUAAAUGCAGUUCUGCCCGAGUUCCACGGGCAGCUUUAGCAAAUUAAUCAAACCUGAGUGGGGGUGUGGGCACCCAGGCUUAUGCCUGUUGGCCAGAGGAUGGGGCUGUGGCUGGUAUCUGAAGUUGAAGGACAGCCUUAGGGACAGAGUAGCCUUGCACUGGGCCCUUCCAGGAUGAGGCUUGGAACACAAACGACAACCACAUGAGCCCGAGGGAGAAGGCUGCGUCUGCUGCUCCAGGAGAGCAGUGCAGCGGGACUCGCCCUGCGACAGGACCUGAGUGCAGGGCCCACUGCUCGAGCUGCUGUCCCUCUGCGCUGACUUGCAGCUGUGCACAGCACGCUGUGCCUGUGUCCUUGGUCCUCGGCUGUUUGGAUGCGGACGCCUUGUGUCAUCUCCUUGAGUGUGCCCUGUUUAGGCUGCUAACCUUCCCGCAUUCCUGGGCUCAUCCUUCACUGGAGCUGGGCUGCUUCCUUCUUCUGUUCUUCAAAGACUUUUCUCAGCAUCGCCUCUCCCCCGCUUCUGGAGUUCCAAUGACACACUCUUCACACACCCUACCGACCCCGGGCUCCAGAGGCUAUUCUCCUUCUCUUUCCCAUCUUCAUUCCUUCUUGCGAGAUUUUCCCAUUGGCCAGCUCAAGCUGUGGGCCUCCCCUUCUGCACCUCCACUUGCUGUUGAGUCUGGUGAGCCUGUCAUUUUUGUCUGCCUUUUCAAUGAUGGUGAUCAUGUUUUCAUUUCUAAAAUUUCCAGGUGGCUCUAUAUCCUCGAUUUCUUUUCAGGUACUUUCUAGUCUAAUAUUUAAGUGCUCAACAUGGCUCCAUUGAGCAUUUCUGUACAGCUGCUUUAGAGCACUUGUUGGAUAAUUUCACACCUUGUCCUCCUGCACUGGGUUCCUGAACAUGGCUGGUCAAGAUGCUGAGCGAUCCUGAUUUGCAAUGUUUUGAAUCUUUCUUUGAGACUCUGGGUCUUUCAUCCACCACACGGAGACUGCUGGUCUUAGCCUUGGUAGGCAGUGGACUUAAGGUCAGUUUCCUUCUCCAACUGUUUGGGGCACCAUCUGGUUUGGCUGGUGCAGACCCCAGAGUGCUGGGUCUGAGGGGGCCAAAUCAACUCCACUGACACACACACACACACACACACACACACGCCCAUGCUGAAGCAAGGGCUCACAAUUCUGUGGGUAGUUUUCUGGUAUUUUCCAGCCCCACAGCUUCUGACUCCCUUCCCAGCCUUCAAGUCAGGAGGUAGAGGUGGUGGUGGACAUAGGGGUGACAGAGGAGCUGACCCACCUGUCAGCAGGUCCUCCUGGGCCACGUGGUCACCUGCAGAAGCACCACACACAGCAGGGAUAUGAGUGCCACUGCUCCCUCCACUGUCCACCAUCAUUUGCUCUCCCAUGGGGCUUUUCUUCAUCUUCCAGGACUGGCACCACACCUUGGUCUGCCUCAGUGCCCCUUAUGGAGGAUGCUCUGCUGGGCGUGUGGCCGGCAAGGGGUGCCCAGGGUGUCUGUCUGGAGCCACGUGGAAAGCCUACAUGGGCAGCUCAGGGCCUUUGCACCCAGGAGCAUGAGGCAGAGUGGGCAGGGUGAUCAGCGAGGGCAGCCUCUGCCCUGUGUCCCAAGGCCUCCUCAGGAGGGAGAGUGCACGAAGCAGAUGGGCAGGAGGCCACUUAUUAUUGCUUCCAGCAGGUGGUGUCUGGGCCUCUAGCUGCUGGACCAGGCUUCCUCCUGAGUGGGAGCCACCUGAACAACUCUCUUUCCCAAGGAUGCUGCUCCAGGACCUGCCGUGUGCUCACGGGGACAACACUGUGGCAGGCAGUGGCCACCUCCAGGACAAUGGACACUGUGAGCUUCACUGUGGGAGAUGCAGAAGAUGCCACCAGCACCAGUGUCCCCGUCCUUGAAGGGUCCGACCAUGGGCAGGAAGGACACCUGGCCACUCUCCUCAGCACUCAUGGAGUUCAGCCUUCUCUCACCUUUGCUGGCACCCAGUUCCCGCCUGUCUCAUCCUGUCUUGCCCAUCUUCCCUACUGCUACUGUCUUCCUCUUAUUGCCUAUAAACUUUACAUAUUAAAGUCAGUAGUAAUAGAUUAAUCCCUAAGCUCUUGCGUGUGUUACAAAUGUUUCUGUCCCAAUUGUUCUUUAGGUGUAAGAAGUGGGGGACAGCCAGGGCACCCACCCGCUCCGCCUCGCCUGCACCCUGCCUGCCUCGUGCCCCAGGAUCGCUGGGUUCCGCCCUCGCGGCUCCCCGCCUUCUGACUUUUACUCAAGCGUUGCUCCUUGGUGGCUGUGGGAAUGAAACCUUGAAAGCCACACAUCAGACUCCAGCCUGCUCAGCAACCCCAGGACUGUGUGGGGCAGAAGCACCUGCUAAAGCAGCCCAGGCUCCCCAGCCUGAGCCUGCAGG
ensembl:lncRNA